AGUGGCGACCGGGUGAGUAACACGUGACUAACCUACCUCCGAGUGGGGAAUAACUCCGGGAAACCGGGGCUAAUACCGCAUAACAUCGCAAGAUCAAAGCAGCAAUGCGCUUGGAGAGGGGGUCGCGGCUGAUUAGCUAGUUGGCGGGGUAACGGCCCACCAAGGCGAAGAUCGGUAUCCGGCCUGAGAGGGCGCACGGACACACUGGAACUGAAACACGGUCCAGACUCCUACGGGAGGCAGCAGUGGGGAAUUUUGCGCAAUGGGGGAAACCCUGACGCAGCAACGCCGCGUGGAGGAUGAAGCCCUUUGGGGCGUAAACUCCUUUCGACUCGGACGAUAAUGACGGUACGAGUGGAAGAAGCACCGGCUAACUCUGUGCCAGCAGCCGCGGUAAUACAGAGGGUGCAAGCGUUGUUCGGAAUUAUUGGGCGUAAAGGGCGCGUAGGCGGUGCGCUAAGUCACCUGUGAAAUCUCCCGGCUUAACUGGGAGCCUGCAGGCGA
rnacentral:rRNA from 1 species